UUGUCUUUUAAAUAAAGACUAGUAUGAACGGCUAAAUGAGGACAGAUCUGUCUCUUACAACUGACCAGUGAAACUGAUCUUCAAGUCCAAAAGCUUGAAUAAACACAUAAGACGAGAAGACCCUGUGGAGCUUCAAACCCACACUAUAACUAACCAAAAUAGCACCGGUUUUAAGUUGGGGCGACUUCGGAACACAACCUAACUUCCGAGCACAUGGGCCAUCACACCCUCACCAAGACCGACAAGUCAAAGAAAAAUCCGACCCAGUCACACUGACCAACGAACCAAGUUACCCCAGGGAUAACAGCGCUAUCUUCUUCAAGAGUCCCUAUCGACAAGAAGGUUUACGACCUCGAUGUUGGAUCAGGACACCCAAAUGGUGCAGCAACUAUUAAAGGUUCGUUUGUUCAACGAUU
rnacentral:rRNA from 1 species